ensembl:lncRNA
UAAAUUCCAAACCCAGCAAACUUUUAGACAAAGACAGUAUACAUAAAUAUGUUUUAUUUAUUUCUUUAAAGCAUUUUGAGGACUCUUAACUACCAGAAAGAGAAUAAUAUUUUUCAGCAUUAGUAUAAGCAGACAUUUGCUCAUUCAUUUUGAUUGUCCUUUAGUUGUGAUCCUUGUAAGUCUGUUUUCUAUGGUUUUUUUUGGGACACAGUCACAUUUGUUCACAGUUUUAUAUAGGAAAUACAAAUGUAAAUUAAAUAAUGAUAUAAAAGAACCCUAGUGAAACUGCACAAUGCUGAAAUUGAGCAAUGGCAUUUUGCAGUUUAUGAACUAUUCACUUAUGUCACAAAACUGCUGAAACGUUUCCCAGUGUUUUUCUGCUUUGGAUCAGGAUUUUACAUGAUUCUAAUCGAAGGAAGUUUAACAGGAAGCAGAUAAUUUUCUCUCUUUUCUUAGACAAUAUGAAGUGUACAGCCAAAUGACUGACACACAGCCCAGCACUGCCCAGACUAGCUCUGAACCAGGCACCAGACUUUCCAGACAGCUGACACUGAGACCCAGCAAACACCACAUAGCGCUCUAUGGUGUUCUUAAUCCUGAUGAGCUAUUUUAGAUUCAGUAAAUUCUUUAAACAAUACCUGAACAUCUCUGAAAGGAAGAAGCAGAAGCAGAAGGAGAAGCAGAAGCAGAAGAAGAAGCAGCAGAGAAAGAAGAAGAAGCAGAAGCAGAAACAGCAGAAGAAGAAGCUACAGAGGAAGAAGAAGAAGAAGAAGAAGAAGAAGAAGAAGAAGAAGAAGAAGAAGAAGAAGAAGAAGAAGAAGAAGAACAAGAAGAACAAGAAGAACAAGAACAAGAACAAGAACAAGAACAAGAACAAGAACAAGAACAAGAACAAGAACGGCCAGACAACUGUCCUUUGGAAAUAAGUGACAGUAAGUGUCUGCAGACUUACUGCAGAAAAGGUGGCAGAAUAGAAUCAGGAGGAUGAUGCAAGAACUGUAUAAACGUUAGGGUUAGGUUACAGAUCAGCAGGAGAACAAGCUAAAAACCUGCAGUACCAUUGCAUUGGCCUAAGCCUCAGUAAUUGAACUAGUUGCAGACCCUUUCUUAUGCUUCUCACUACUCACUUAAACUCACUUGAUAGAUUAAUUUUGUUUGUCUUUGUCUUCAGAAUACUGGAUCUUGUUUUAGACCUCAGUAUCAGUAAAAGUUAUAAGAUUUUUCUUCUUGCUUUUUUCACCUUUUCUUAUACUUACUGAUAUUGUGAAAUAUAAUGAACUCCAGCUGUAUUUUUAAUAACAUCUGUGUUCUAUGUUCAGUUCUAGAGCUCUUAAUGAAUUCAUAUUCUGAGGCUACAAGGAUCAGAAAGAAAAAAGAAAACUCGUGAUGGGGAAAACUCAUGAUGAUAUACCAAUUCAGGUCUGCCAGUUAACAGUUCUGAUUGUAAACGUUUUACUUUUAUCAGAAACUAUAUGUCUUGUCUUAGUUAACAAACAAGAAAAAAACUGCUACAAUAACACAAUAGCAAACCUUUUGCUGUUUAACUGACAGCUACCACAAAUUUCUGUUCUGUUACUGAAAAAAAUAAAAUAAAAAAAAAUAAAGUGAAUAUAAAAUCU